rnacentral:rRNA from 1 species
GAAGGGCGGUAUUUAUUAGAUAACAAGCCAAUAUUCCUCUGGUCUAUUGUGGUGACUCAUAAUAACUGAUCGAAUCGCAAGGCCUAUGGCCGCGGUAAGUCAUUCAAGUUUCUGCCCCAUCAGCUUUCGAUGGUAGUGUAUUGGACUACCAUGGCGUUUACGGGUAACGGAGGAUUAGGGUUCGAUUCCGGAGAGGGAGCCUGAGAAACGGCUACCACAUCUAAGGAAGGCAGCAGGCGCGUAAAUUACCCAAUCCUGACUCAGGGAGGUAGUG